rnacentral:rRNA from 1 species
GACGAAGGGGGCUAGCGUUGUUCGGAAUUACUGGGCGUAAAGCGCGUGUAGGCGGUUGCCCAAGUCGGGUGUGAAAGCCUUGAGCUCAACUCAAGAAUUGCACUCGAUACUUGGUGACUAGAGGACCGGAGAGGAUAGUGGAAUUCCCAGUGUAGAGGUGAAAUUCGUAGAUAUUCGCAAGAACACCAGUGGCGAAGGCGGCUCACUGGCCCGGUACUGACGCUGAGGUGCGAAAGCGUGGGGAGCAAACAGG